AUGGAUACAUGUGAGUAUAUCUGCUUGGAUAGUCGCUUAUUUAUUGACAUUCAGUGAGGCAAUCGCCUGGCCGCAGUGGGCCAUGUUGUACGUCUCUAUAUUCCAAAAUGCAUAGAUUUGUAUCAAUUGAUAGUGCAGAACAGAACAGAACAGGACAGAGAACUUGGUCAGCAGCUGAAAGGCAACAUGCAAUCGCGUUGUCUGCCAGCGGCUUUUGUCAAAUUGAAGGUAGCUUCUACACUCGACCCUCUAUAGCUAAGUGCACAUACUCUGCCGUUGGAGAUCCGGCGAAUGGAGUUCCAGGGAGCCGCACAAAGUCGGGGCACCUUGACAAGCCCAGGCACGUCUUCGGCCGACAAUUGGCCAGAGAUGUUGGCCAAAAGAUGCUCGCAGUCGGGCUGGCUUGAUUGUCUCCCCUCCACUUGUGCCUCGAACCUCCAAGAUUCCGAAUGCGGGUAAUACCCUAUUCUAACGAUUCUUGAAAACAUGUGCUAUGCUAAUGAAACUAAAUAUUAGUACUAACUAUAAUUUAUAAUUGUAUAAACUUAU
ensembl:ncRNA lncRNA:CR45306 long non-coding RNA:CR45306